GGUGGUUCUCGGGUGACACACCCUGGAAUUCGGCUCCCUCCUCUCUGGUUCCAGGUGCGUCACCCAAGAACCACA
rfam:Myotis davidii contig137640, whole genome shotgun sequence.